ACGCGACUUCCUGCGGGAAACAUGGCGGCAUUGAGCGGAGUCCGCUGGCUGACCCGAGCGCUGGUCUCCGCCGGGAACCCUGGGGCAUGGAGAGGUCUGAGUACCUCGGCCGCGGCGCACGCUGCAUCGCGGAGCCAGGCCGAGGACGUGAGGGUGGAGGGCUCCUUUCCCGUGACCAUGCUUCCGGGAGACGGUGUGGGGCCUGAGCUGAUGCACGCCGUCAAGGAGGUGUUCAAGGCUGCCGCUGUCCCAGUGGAGUUCCAGGAGCACCACCUGAGUGAGGUGCAGAAUAUGGCAUCUGAGGAGAAGCUGGAGCAGGUGCUGAGUUCCAUGAAGGAGAACAAAGUGGCCAUCAUUGGAAAGAUUCAUACCCCGAUGGAGUAUAAGGGGGAGCUAGCCUCCUAUGAUAUGCGGCUGAGGUAGGUGGUCUGGGUGGGGUGAAUGGUUGAGAGGUGCCAGGGCACCAGGAGCAGAGCUGAUGGCCCUGCCCACCCUCAGGCGUAAGUUGGACUUAUUUGCCAACGUAGUCCAUGUGAAGUCACUUCCUGGGUAUAUGACUCGGCACAACAAUCUAGACCUGGUGAUCAUUCGAGAGCAGACAGAAGGGGAGUACAGCUCUCUGGAACAUGAGGUGAGGCCCCAGAAACUGGGGGAGGGCAAGGAUGAAGAUGGGAGAGAGGUGGAGCUCCUUGUUUCCCUUCCCAGUGUCACCUAGCUGCUGCUUUCUUCUUACCCAGAGUGCAAGGGGUGUGAUUGAGUGUUUGAAGAUUGUCACACGAGCCAAGUCUCAGCGGAUUGCAAAGUUCGCCUUUGACUAUGCCAC
rnacentral:sRNA from 1 species